rnacentral:rRNA from 2 species
UUGGAGAAGUUUGAUCCUGGCUCAGGACGAACGCCUGGCCGGCGUGCUUAACACAUGCAAGUCGAACGAUGAAGCCGCUUCGGUGGUGGAUUAGUGGCGAACGGGUGAGUAACACGUGGGCAAUCUGCCCUGCACUCUGGGACAAGCCCUGGAAACGGGGUCUAAUACCGGAUAUGACACGAGGGGGCAUCUUCUCGUGUGGAAAGCUCCGGCGGUGCAGGAUGAGCCCGCGGCCUAUCAGCUUGUUGGUGGGGUGAUGGCCUACCAAGGCGACGACGGGUAGCCGGCCUGAGAGGGCGACCGGCCACACUGGGACUGAGACACGGCCCAGACUCCUACGGGAGGCAGCAGUGGGGAAUAUUGCACAAUGGGCGCAAGCCUGAUGCAGCGACGCCGCGUGAGGGAUGACGGCCUUCGGGUUGUAAACCUCUUUCAGCAGGGAAGAAGCGCAAGUGACGGUACCUGCAGAAGAAGCACCGGCUAACUACGUGCCAGCAGCCGCGGUUAAUAA